UUUGAACUGUUCAUUUCCAUUUAUCUUAUUUGAUUUUUUUAUGAUUAGUAUUUUUAUUGUUAUUAGAUGAUAAAACAUUAAUAGUAUUUUAUGUGUGAUUUUUUUAAAAAAAUUCAUAAUAUUUUAAAAUAAGAUGGACAUUAAAUGUUGGACACAGAUUUUUAUGGAUGCACUUAUU
rnacentral:pre_miRNA from 1 species